CACGUUCCCCUCUCUCUCGCGCGACGCCGCCCACCACUCGCUCCCCUCCACUCGUCUCUCUCUCGCGCGCGACAUGCCCUCUCUCUCUCCCUCUCGCCGGCAUCUUGCUCCGCACCGCCGCCUAGCUCACCGCUCCCCACGCGCCGCCGCCUAGCUUACCGCUCCCCACGCGCCGCCCUCUCCUACUCCGGCAACGCGGUGCUGGGCGAGGAGUAGAUGCAGAAAGCUGCCAUUUUUAUGCGCCAGCAACACGCUGCUGGGCGAGGAGGACGUGCGCACUGGCGCUAGAUCUGAGUGCGCCGGCAGUCGAUCUGCUUUGAGGCUUGAAGGAGGCGCUGAACCGGCCCGGGCGUGAAGACGGCGGCGUGGGGAGCUGGAGCACGAGCGGGAGGAGCUGGAGCCGCAUCUGGAUGUCGCCGUGAUGAUGAGCCGCAUCUGGACGUCGUCGUAGAUGGCCAGGGCUUUAAUCUGGAGCUCAUUUAACUUGGCCAGGGCUUAAAUCUGGAGCUCCAUGGCGUUCCACAAGCGCGGCGGCCAGGCAAUACUCCACUUGUACUGCAUCAAGGAAUGAGUACUUCAAACGCUGGUAGCAUCAGCAGCACCAAAGGGUAGCUUCAGGUUCUCUCCUGGCCAUGGAGCCAUGGGCUGUGAAUAUUAAGCACGAAACAGGGGUCUCCUUUCCUCUUAAGCAGAGCAGCAGCUCCGGUUGAGGAGAUGAACCUGGGCCGCAGCCGAGCCCAGCAGCAGGUCGAGGAAGAGCCUCCACCUGGGCAUGCACGGGCCAGGAGGAGCUCCUGGACGUGGGAGAGGAGGAGCGCCUGGGCUGGAGGUGGAGGCGCCUGGACCUGGGCGCAGUCGCCGGAUGUGGGAGUGCCUGGACCUGAGCGCAGUCGCCGGAUGUGGGGGUCCCUGGACCUGGGCGCAGUCGCCGGAUGUGGGGGUCCCUGGACCUGGGCGCAGUCGCCGGAUGUGGGGGCGCCUGGACCUGGGCGCAGUCGCCGGAGGUGGGGGCGCCUGGGACCUGGGCACAGUCGCCGGAUGUGGGAGGAGGUGGCGAUGGAGGGCGGAGGUGGGGGUGGAGGGCGAGGGCGGAGGUGGGCGUGGAGCUGGAGGGCUGAAGGUAGAAGACGACGCAGGCUUCAAAUUCAAAUUGGGGGUAGUACGGUCCUUUUGCACGAUUUCACCUGGUCGGAACAAGGUCGCCAGCGACCUACAUUUCGGAACGGA